GCUUACGGCCAUACCACCUUAGGCACGCCCGAUCUCGUCUGAUCUCGGAAGCUAAGCAGGGUCGGGCCUGGUUAGUACUUGGAUGGGUGACUGCCUGGGAAUACCAGGUGCUGUAGGCA
rnacentral:rRNA from 1 species